UAAAUGAGGGCCAAUGUGUUGAAACUCAGUAAAACAUUGAAAAGUCUAAGGAGGCUGUACACCUUUAAUAACCACUAUAGAUGAUGAUCAGACUGUAUAUUGGGAGCCUUUCAACUGCAGGUAUGCAAGCAAUUCAGAAGUCCACAAACACAGUUAGUCACUUUAUGAGCCAACAAUUUUUUUACCAAACUUGAGUAAUCUUAUAAAGAAUGUUACAUGUGAUAAAGCAUAUACUUUAAAUAUGGCCUCUGUGGGCAAACAGACAAGUUCCUCUGAAGUUGGUUAACCAGGUUGGGACAGAUGGUUCUUCAAGAAGUGCAUGCGCAAUUUUCAUGGCCAACCACAAAGGUUACUGUUCCCUUUUCACAAUCUCUUCAGUUUUCUCUGUUAAAAUACUUUUUAACUGUAAAGACCUACAGCAAACACCCAGACAAAUGUGGGCAUUCAUUAUGGUACAGAUUUACAGUAGUACUGCAUUCUUUCUUCACCAAAGAACCAAUAAAAUAUUCUAUUCUAAAAUAUUCAGUAACAAAUAUCAUCAGAUAUCUUCAUGUCACUCUUUUUUUCAUACUUUUCAAACACAGAAAUGCUGAAUAAUAUAAAAAGCAACCAAAGGAAACUUUGGCGUAGAAAUAUCCCAAAAACUAAACAAAGAGUGGAAAUACUCUGAACUUCACAUUUAGUUCAUUCGAUAGUUGGACUAAGUUUGAUAGUUGUUAUGUGGCAAAGGACACCAUCAUUCGAGUUGGCAGGACACAUGGUGAUACUGGCGCCCCUCUGACCUGGCACCAUAACAGUGGCCCUCUGCCCAAUGAUGUUCCCCCCGAGUCUACUCACUUUACAGAGGUCGAAGCUGACUUUAUCCACAUAAAUGAAUUUGUAAUGAGCCCUUUUAGCUUCAAGCGCCAUUAUUCAUAUGAACAAGAACAAGAAAAGGAACCAGGCAAGUUCUGCCGGCCCGCGAUUAGAAGGGAUAAAUGUUGAUAAUACGCCUGGCUGGAUUCGAUCUACAGUUUCCUAUGUGGCAGACUGUGUUAACCACUACGCUAUUUAAACAGCAUGUGUUGUUGCACAUGACACAUGUGUAGAGAUGUGGUGUAUGUUUACUUCUGCAUUGUAAAACCAAUUAGUCCAAACUCCACACAUUUUGCGACUAGUUCCUUACAUUAGCUAACAUCCAAACCAACAACUAGUUUAAAAGGGUCUCUGCACUACAUUCAUUGCGUUAAAUUACAAAGAGUUUACUGUAAAUGGCUAGCUAAUAGGUACAUGGUAAUGCAAAUAAUGGCUCCAAUCACUCCAUGGCUGGCUCGUUCCUUUAGAAAAAAAAGACAUUUGAAUAGCCAACCACUACGCUAUGGCUGAAUCGCAAAUUGCAUUGUACAUACUACGUACUACAAGUACGUACUUCGUUGAUGGUGAAAAAAAAUGGCUGUGUCCACAUGUACAGCAUAACAGAUAGAGAACCGUCCAAAGUAUUUGCUGCCAAAGUGCCGGUAGAAAAUAUUGACUAAAGGGGAUGAGUAUUUAAGCAAUCAAUUGUUUUCUGCUUGUAUCUGUAAUCCAAUCAGAAAAAAAUAUUUUAUCUUUCACUUUGACAUUAUGGAUUCUUUGGUUGAGCACUUGACAUGCUGCAAAUAAACACAUUGGUCAAAGCACAGUCCGCAAAAUCAUUGGAUUGGUGAAGGCAUGGGGUACAUUGAGUUUUCAUAUACUGCAUCAUUU
ensembl:lncRNA